GUGUCUGUGUACAACCAACUGGGGCCACAAACAGGAAUGGUGUGGUUUCAAAUAGGAAAGAAACAUAGCUCAUGAUUAAUUAGUUAACCUUACCCUAAAACGCCUUAUGCCUAGGAGACAUUGUGGUCAUGCUAUGGAUGCAUUUGUCAUAUUCAAACUAAGAAAUGGUUUCUGUGCUGGCCAUGACAGGCCAGACUAGAUGUCUGCUAUAGAUCUUCUUCUUGUUUCAGUGAAUCCGUGCAUCCUGUCAUAGCAUGAAAAUAUAUUUGCUUAAAUAUGCCAGCCAUAUCAAACAACACUAGCUUCAGUGGUCCCUACCUCCUCCAGCUGUCUGAUGCUACCAGCAUGAUGCUAUUUCCCAAACUCUGCUGGAAGCUUUAUAGAGGAGUGAUACUGCAGGCAGGGGAAGCUGUUUGGGACAAGGUUUGGUAAAAGGCCUCUGCCUUCAGCAGCUCCCCGUGUGACUUUCAUGACCUCAUUUCUUCAAAGAGCUCAGCACUCCGCCUCCAAGUUCUGGGGAAAAAACAGGCCAUUCAUUUGCUGUGCUUAAAUGGGAUUUGAACUAAUCCUUGAAAAUUUGGCCCAAAUAUUUCUUCUAUAAUUAAAAAAAAAAAAGGAAAAAUUAUAAUUCUUAGAGUUAUAAUUGUCAAGGAAAUUCUGGUGUCUUUGUUAUCUGAGACAUACCCCUUGAGAUUUCUCACAUCUAUAUUUUGCUGAGAAGCAGUGGGAGCAUCUUUCCAUAUGGCUCAAGAAAACAAGGCAGUCAAAGCAAAGACAGAGAGAAUUUUAGGACUGCAGUGAUAAUAUCUUCUGCAGAGUUUAUAAUGACCUCGCUGCUUUGCAUUGUGACUUAGUUGACUGUUUUUUGAAAAACACAGAGUGAUACAAAUCAGAAUUUGAGAGGGAAACAAACAGCCCAUCAGUUUGAGGAGAAAAAAAAGGCAUGAAAGCCAGAUCUUACUGGUAGCUUGUUGAUGUUUCUGUGCUCUUUCUGUACGAAGGAGACCCUCAGCUCUCUGUGAAGAGCCGGCAACAAGGCAGGACGUCCUUGUGAAGGUGUGAGAGAACGUGAGCAUUGGGGCUCUUCUGCCUUUGAAACCACCUUUGUGUGAGCAAGAACUGGAGCUUUCCUGCAAAGGUGAGAAAAUUAAAGCACAGGGAGGUUAGAAGCUAACUUUUUCCAAGCUAGGCAACUGAAGGACACAGGAACUGGCCACUGUGGGCUUCUUGCCAUCCAAAUUAACUGCUGCACAUCUGGCGUGGAGGAGCUUCAGCCUUUUCUGCCAUUUUACUGCUGCGAUACCUCUGCCAUCCCGUCUGCUUCAACAGGCCCGCCGAGGGCUACCGAAGCAAAAGGACCGAGACAAAGCGUUCGAGUUUGAAAUGUCUGUGGUUUUGGAUAACGCCUGCUGUGAGAAAAUCCAGGGAGUGGUUAACUGAAGGCAAGUCAGGGUGUUGCAGGGCAUUUGUGGAGUGUGAUAAGCGCUGGUGUGCCUGCUCCUGCUCCUGCUCUGUGAGGGGAGGCAGGAAGCGCUGGCCACGCGUCUGAGAGGCCCUGCAGACCCCAGCUGAAGGGACUGGUCCCAGAAGGAUCUCAGGGCUGUGGCCCUUGAUCCUACAGAGGGACCUGCUGCAGAUUUGCUAUGAGGUAUCUCAGGUUGGGAAAGGGACCCUGCGGGCAAGGCCCUUGCCAGUGCCUCUAUGACCAGAGGGAGGAGCCUGCCUGAAGAGGCCUGUCAUAAGGGACACACGUUUCCACCUGGAUCAAAGAGCUUGGAGAGGCCCUGCAUCUAUUUGGGUCUGGGUCCGUCAUGUAUUUUUCUUGUGUGCAUAUGGUGUUAUGUGUGUAAAGGGUACAGCUGGGGGCUAGUAAUGCCCCUCCCUCCAUGGCUGGCAGUUGAAGCUGUGAGGCUGUUGGAUGACCCGAGUUCAUGCGACAUGCUUUUUUAGGCAAGACCUUUUUCUGAGAUCUUUCAGCUCUUUUUAUGAGUAACAGCCUGGCAAGAUCUCUGCUUAAACAAGCUACCUCAAGAAGCAGUUGAAGAUUUUACUGAAAACUUCUGAAAUCUCCAGACCUGUCCUAACCUGCAGCUUCUCAAGUGGUUUCUAUUAUUUCAGGAGCCAUGUGGCUGUACUGAAAGUUUUAUUCCAGUUCCUCAGGCUUAAUUCCCAAAAGUCAGCAGAGACACCUUGAUCAAAGCAUGGCUCUGGCCUCUGGGAACUUAUUGCUAGGGUAUGCGGCCCUCUGCCUUGCCUAGCCCCAGGGCCAGAGGUGGGGUGUCCACAUCUGGGGGUGUCCAUCCCUGCAGCGGGAACAGAGUUUCUUGGGAAUGGAGCAGGGACUCCAGUUCCCGAACCUCGUGCUGACUUUGCCCCUGGCCAUCAGUCCUGUUCUCAGCUGGAGGCUGCCCCUUCUUCAUGCCCUCAGCUGGAUGGGACCUUUGCGCUUUGGUGCAAAUGCCUCCAUCUUCACUCAAGCACUCAGGGAACAUGGGCCAGCAAAAUGGACCUUGCUCUCCUUUAUAGGCAAAUGCCUGAAGUUCAUUUUCUAUCUCAUGUCCUCUUUUCCCUUACAGGCUACACUGUAGGUGGCUUCUUUGAAAAAGAACCUCUGCGCACACAUAGCCAUCCCUCCAUCCUCUGUACGUGCCAAGCUCCACAUGUGCUGGGCGUGCGUUUCAGACCUGCCUUGGCACCAUGGUGGGACUGCUCGCUCUGGGGCAGUGUGAUCUCACCCUGGACACAGUCAUUUUCCUCCUGCUGGAAAAAGAACGCCUGGGCUGUUAGCAGAGAGGAAGCUCACAGUGUCAUGCAAGUUUAUAUCGAACAAUUGUUGUACCAAAGGAGCUGGAAAAACAAUUUUUUUUAAGCACCACUGUACCAUUUCCUAUUUUUUAAGCAAAAGCUCAACAUAUUUCGGCUACAAAAAAAAGUGGACAAUGUGUUAACUCUUUAUAUUGCUUAUAAACACACACAUACAAAAAAACUGGAGGCUUAACCCCAGAGCCCCAUAUCCCUAAUCUUUCAUGCUGGAUCCUUAUUUUAAAGUUGUGAUUCAAAAUAAGCUCUAGUAAAAAUUAUGCACCAGCCAAGGCAGGAAAUAAAAUACUUGCCCUACCCUUUCUAUCUUGUUCCCCAUGAUUGCAGGCCUAUUUAUUAUGCCAUAAGGAAACACACAAUAGAAUGAGAUCAAAUAAUAAAUGGAAGCAAUACAUCAGCCCUAUACUCCUUUUGCCCAAAACAACUCUCACUUCUAAUUUCAGUCCAUAAGGCCAUGAACAGAACAGCAUAUAUUACCCCUAAAGUAAAGGAAAAAAAUCUCAGUUGAUUUUGCCAGUAAUCACAUAGCAGAGAGUUUCCAAAAGGACAACCAAAGCUGAGAAGACGUGGAUUUCAGUUAUGUAUCACAAUGCUGAUUUUUAUUUAGUCAUUUGUUUCAAAAGAUUGGUGUUUUAUAGAUCUGCAUGCAUUUUUUUUAAUUGAGGGCUGUGAAAAGUUCUGGCACCCUGAACCGGGUGUGAAUUUUCUCAUCUACAUGGAGAAUUAAGUCUCUACAAAGCAUUUGCCCAAAAUUCUCUCAGAAUUGGAGAGAAGUGAGACGUCCUCACACGUUUUUCAUCCUGACUGAGCUUUGAUGAGCUUAGUUUGCAGAAGUCUGUGCUCUGUACUGGUUCUCAUCUACAAGAAUUGCCCUAACUUACUACACAAAAUCUGGGUUAAUUUACGUAAAGAAAGACCAAUGUUUUUGUCACUGGUUUAUUUGCUGUAGUAUAUGAUUAUCACGGCCAUAAAGUUCAAUGUGCAGCUGAAUUACAUGGUGUAAACAAAGUUAUCCUACAUUUUGAUGCUAAUUAAGUUACAUCUUGCAAUGAACCUUUAUGAAAAACAAGACUCAAAAAAUUACAGAAGUUAUUCUCUAUGAAAUUAUUUAUCUGCUUGUAAAGAUGCAGUAUUGUAACACUACUUGAGUGCUCAUAACAGUUUUACUGCUAAUCCCUCACUUGAUUUUGCAACUUAAAGGUUGAUAUGACGCACAGGGUGAAACACGAUUUUGUCAGUAAAAGGUUUAGCAAAAGCUAAAUAUCCUUAAAUUACACUCAUGGCAGAAUAAAUGUUUUGAGUUCUUUUGCAAUCACAGUUUUGUUAAGCAGCUGAAUUACGUUUGUUGAACUUGUAAACUUUCCAGUAUAGACUUGCUUUUGUUGACAGUAUUUUUUUUUUUUUUUUUUUUUUUUUUUAGCAUUUUCAAGAUAAGAACUAUUUUGAUGAUCAGAAGAACCUGGCACUCGCUUAUAAGAAAACUAGGGUCAAAUGUUGACUUAAGCAUUAUUUAUUGUUCUAUUGUGAUAGGCACUUGCAGGGGUUUUGCAGAGGAUAAAAUCCAUUAAUGAAUGGAAGCUGAUGAAACAUAAUGUUAAUAAGAAUGAUGUAAAUACAUCAGUGGAUAAUUGUCUGGACAGUUGCAUGGAGUUUCAAGCAAUUAUCUGUGCUUAUUGACUGGUCCAUAAGCCUCUGUUUCUCGUCCUUGCAGGGCUUUACCAGCCAGGAGAGAUGAAAAGCUGCUGAGAAGCUGUGAAGGAGGGGUCUGCUGAAAGCUGUGAAUCUGGGUCUCAGACUGAAAAAGGAGGGCUUCGGUGAGCUCUGACUUAGGGCUGAGGCAACAACUCUGUGAAGUUUCAAGGCGAGGACCUGGCUGACUUGAUUUCCAGUCGUGCCCUUGCUCUGAAACUUCAUGAGCCUCUUGCUAUCACCCUCCUUUAGCAAAAGCCACCUCUCUGCGGCUUCUGUUUGGCCAAGUGGAUGCAGUUGCUGGCACGUGUAACGGCUGGUAGCCCUUUGCUGUGUGUGUGGUGGAGGAUGAACUAAAUGCUCACAGCCUGUGCGCAGGAGGAGAAAAUGACGCUAAUGCAUGUGGAAAAAACAAAAGGAGGCAGGCAGGAAAUAAAUUUAAAAAAUCCAUGAGAAAAUGAAUUUUGUGGUGUAUUUAACCAUGGUGGAGAGGGAGGGGGUGCCUAUGAAAUGAGGAAGUUUGUUUGCUUGCCUGUAGGGUUUAUUUGUUUUUUUAAAGUUUACUUUUAAAAAGAGCAGGAAAAAUUGAGUAAAAAGUCAAGUUUCUCAUCAGCUGGUGACUCAGACAACUCAAGCUGAAAGCAGCUCUGCUAUUUCUCACCAGGCAACAUGUGGCUCUCAGCCUUGGUGCCGAGACCCCCUUGAAAGACCCAUUUGGAUGAGCUACAAUUUAUGCUGGUGUCUGAAGCUGCACAAGCAGAUGGAUUAUUAUUGGAAGAAGAAUAUCCUGAAUGAAAGCAGGAUUAGCUUUGUGGAAAAUCACCUGUGCUAAAUACUAGCUGGGGCCAGUGACUGAUUUAGUGAUAGCGGAUGGAAGAAGCCAAACAUCUGUUUCCCUCGAUCCAUUUUAAAUGUUUCCCUCAUCCUUUCAUAGCGCCAAGCUUACAAGUAUUUCAAGAUCAAAGCAUUCAGCUUCCUGAGCAUUUCCUAUAUUUAGCAAAUACCUGAAUGAAACGAUGACCUUUCUCCCUAAGAGAUGAGUUGGCAACUGAACUAAGAUUUCUAUGGCUGUGCACAGCUUUCUUCCAGAUACCCAGCCUGGACACAAGUGCCACGGUUACACAUCCUUGUAGUGUCAAGCUCAUCUGGCAUGAGGCCUCGCGUCUGUCAGUCAAUGAUGGACAGCACAAGGAUCUCCUUUACUAAAGAUACCAUAGAUCAGGGGUGUGUAAGAUUACAGGAGGGCAAGGCUUGGAAAUUGCAAGCCCAUGUAAAUUGCUAAGAUUUUGACAUUUUUUUUUGAUUUUAAUAAUUCCUCUAGCAUUUAAUGCAGUCCAGUUAAAAUCUUCUACUUUGAUUAUUUACAAUAAUCUUACUUGUGAGUCA